rnacentral:rRNA from 1 species
ACUCCUGCGGGAGGCAGCAGUGGGGAAUAUUGGACAAUGGGCGCAAGCCUGAUCCAGCCAUGCCGCGUGAGUGAUGAAGGCCCUAGGGUUGUAAAGCUCUUUCACCGGUGAAGAUAAUGACGGUAACCGGAGAAGAAGCCCCGGCUAACUUCGUGCCAGCAGCCGCGGUAAUACGAAGGGGGCUAGCGUUGUUCGGAUUUACUGGGCGUAAAGCGCACGUAGGCGGACUAUUAAGUCAGGGGUGAAAUCCCGGGGCUCAACCCCGGAACUGCCUUUGAUACUGGUAGUCUUGAGUUCGAGAGAUGGGAGUGGAAUUCCGGGUGUAGAGGUGAAAUUCGUAGAUAUUCGGAGGAACACCAGUGGCGAAGGCGGCUCACUGGCUCGAUACUGACGCUGAGGUGCGAAAGCGUGGGGAGCAAACAGGAUUAGAUACCCGAGUAGUCCCAUGAU